rnacentral:rRNA from 1 species
CGGAUCCGCGCCGCUGCAGAGUUUGAUCCUGGCUCAGGACGAACGCUGGCGGCGUGCCUAACACAUGCAAGUCGAGCGGAGAUAACGUGCUUCGGCGUGUUAUUUCAGCGGCGGACGGGUGAGUAACGCGUGAAGGACCUGCCCCUUACAGAGGGAUAACAUCGAGAAAUCGGUGCUAAUACCGCAUAAGACCACGGUGCUGCAUGGCAUUGAGGUAAAAGGAGAAAUCCGGUAAGGGAUGGCUUCGCGUCCCAUUAGAUAGUAGGCGGGGUAACGGCCCACCUAGUCGACGAUGGGUAGCCGACCUGAGAGGGUGAUCGGCCACACUGGAACUGAGACACGGUCCAGACUCCUACGGGAGGCAGCAGUGGGGAAUAUUGGGCAAUGGGCGAAAGCCUUACCCAGCAACGCCGCGUGAGAGAAGAAGGUUUUCGGAUUGUAAAUCUCUGUCCUGGGGGACGAAGAAAGUGACGGUACCCCGGGAGGAAGCCCCGGCUAACUACGUGCCAGCAGCCGCGGUAAUACGUAGGGGGCGAGCGUUGUCCGGAAUUAUUGGGCGUAAAGGGCGUGUAGGUGGCCAGAUAAGCGUAAUGUGGAAGUCCAUAUUUCAAGUAUGGAAGUGCGCUAUGAACUGUCUGGCUUGAGUGCAGGAGAGGGAAGCGGAAUUCCUGGUGUAGCGGUAAAAUGCGUAGAUAUCAGGAGGAACACCGGUGGCGAAGGCGGCUUUCUGGACUGUAACUGACACUGAGGCGCGAAAGCGUGGGGAUCAAACAGGAUUAGAUACCCUGGUAGUCCACGCUGUAAACGAUGAAUGCUAGGUGUAGGAGGUAUCGACCCCUUCUGUGCCGCAGUUAACGCAAUAAGCAUUCCGCCUGGGGAGUACGGUCGCAAGAUUAAAACUCAAAGGAAUUGACGGGGGCCCGCACAAGCAGCGGAGCAUGUGGUUUAAUUCGAAGCAACGCGAAGAACCUUACCAAGGCUUGACAUCCCCUGACGGUGCUGGAAACAGUACUUCCCUUCGGGGCAGGGAGACAGGUGGUGCAUGGUUGUCGUCAGCUCGUGUCGUGAGAUGUUGGGUUAAGUCCCGCAACGAGCGCAACCCCUAUGUUCAGUUACUAACAAGUAAUGUUGAGGACUCUGGACAGACCGCCGGGGACAACUCGGAGGAAGGUGGGGACGACGUCAAAUCAUCAUGCCCCUUAUGUCUUGGGCUACACACGUGCUACAAUGGUCGUUACAAAGAGCAGCGAAGCCGUAAGGCGGAGCGAAUCUCAAAAAAGCGAUCCCAGUUCGGAUUGUGGGCUGCAACCCGCCCACAUGAAGUCGGAGUUGCUAGUAAUCGCGGUUCAGCAUGCCGCGGUGUAUACGUUCCCGGGCCUUGUACACACCGCCCGU